GCCAACAAGAAAUUAUAACUUUUACCAAAGUAAAGAAAAUUUUCACAAAAUAAUAGUAUUCUUUUAAAAAUAUAUUUUAUACACAACCGCAAGGGCUUUACUUUAGCCUUUUAAAGAAAUGAUAACCCCAUAUCCCUUUUGCAUCAUGGAGAAGCAACAAAAACAUAGCAAGCCAAAUUCCCGAAUGAUUAUGAGCUACUAAUCUUUAAAAAUCAAUGUUUCAUAAUUGAUAGAGUAAUUUUUAGUAGAAGUAACAAGCCUUCCAUAUAAUCAUAUAGCUGGUUUUUCUUUAAAAGCAUCAAAGUGCUAACUUAUAGUAUUAAGCUACACCCAUUAACACUAUAAAGUUUAAUUUAUUGAGGAUAAGCUCAAUAAGAUACAAAAAUAUUUUAUUCUUUAACUUUCUAAGUAGGCUUAAAAGCAGCCACCUAAUAACGUUUUAGUUAUCAAGGCAUAACAUCAAUAUCUAUACUCGUAUUUUAAAUCUAAAGAAAUUUAAUACACAACUUUUCUGUAUUAGUAAACAGGCAUUCUAUUAGUAUUGAAAAAUUAUUUUUCAUAACCCUAAAAAAAUCUGAACCAAAAUAUUUUACCACACUAAAUAUAUACAAAGCGAACUCGGCAAAUAAAUUCCUUGCCUGUUUACCAAAAACAUCGUCUUUUGAGCCCAUCUAUAAAAGAUAAUGCCUGCCC
rnacentral:rRNA from 1 species